CGUUAAAGAAAUCUAGCUUUCUGAACUUGCUUGUAUUCCCAAAGAGAUCUGUUCCACCUCCCCAGGAAUUCUUUUACUUCAUCCCCAGAUAUGACACAGUUCUUGGGAAGAAGCAGACGAAACCAAACCACCCACAAAACAGAAAAGAUUUCCGCUUUUAACUGACAAAGUGAUCAAAUUAACUGUUCUCCACGAGUCAUUUCUGCUUUUGCUUAUAUAGAAAGGUGUUAAGGUGAAACAAGACCUUUACUUUGUAGGAGUUAAAUUAUUUACGUGUUCUGAAACCAGACGAUGCCAGAUGUUUAAUUGAUCCAUAUGGCUUAAAAUUCAUG